rnacentral:rRNA from 1 species
AGCUCUCCGAGUGGUGUGGAUGUUUAUUGGGCCUAAAGCAUCCGUAGCUGGCUAAGUUAGUCCCUUGUUAAAUCCACCGAAUUAAUCGUUGGAUUGCGGGGGGAUACUGCUUGGCUAGGGGACGAGAGAGGCAGACGGUAUUUCCGGGGUAGGGGUGAAAUCCUAUAAUCCCGGGAAGACCACCAGUGGCGAAGGCUGUCUGCUAGAACGCGCCCGACGGUGAGGGAUGAAAGCUGGGGGAGCGAACC